rnacentral:lncRNA from 1 species
ACACAAAUGAAUUUAUUACAGGACAGAUUCACAGACAUAGAGAACAGACUUUUGGUUGCCAAGGCAGGGGGGGGGUAAGGAAUGGAUUGGGAGUUUAGGAUUAGCAGAUGUAAACUAUCAUACAUAGAAUAUAAACAACUAUCCUACUGUAGAGCACAGGGAACUAUAAUCGAUAUCCUGUAAUAAGCCAUAAUGGAAAAGAAAAAAAUAAUAACUUUUUUGAAGUUUAAAAUGUCAACCCCCAUUGUUAAAUGGAAUUUUUGUUUUAUAUUAUAAAGAGGGGUGAGGACUAUCUAUCUCAAGUGGUUAUUGUGGCAACUAACUCAUUAUACAUCACAGCAUCUAACACAGUGUUCACUCUUAGUAAAUAUUAAUAACCUUUUCUCUAUCUGAGUGCCACAUGCUCAGAGAUUGUUCCAGAACACACUGGUGCUGAAACACCCUGUCUUCCCCUAUAUCUCCCAGCGUUAAGGUGACCACACAUCCCUGUCUACGCCUACUGUCCUGGUUUCAUAGCACCCCCGCUUCCACUCUCAUGAGUAUCCCAGUUUGGACAACACAUUAUAAAGCCAUCCUACCUACUGUCGCAGUCUUUCCAGAAAACAUAUCUUGCUAAAGGCGCAAAGAGCUGCACUGUCUUUCUGAAUAAAGAUGAUCAAAAUGUGUUUUCAAUGGCAUCACUGCACUAGAGUUAUUGCAAAAAUAAAAAAAAUAAACAAAUUAGGGAGAGGAGUGUCAUAGCAGCCAUGCCUCCUUUUCUUAUUUCUGCUCUAUCACCUCCAGGCUAAAGGCACAAUGAAGCUGGGAUUUUAGACCAUGAGAACAGGAAGUAGAGGACAGCUGUGAUUACACAUCACUACCAAAAGACGUUCAUCUAAGUGGCCUGCACUCUCCCAGACUAGCAGAUAAUAUUAUUUCAAUGGUGAAAUGAGUCUUAUUAAUGGUGUGUGAGCUAUAUACACAAUGACUGUAUGCAGCUUGUAAGUUAACUUUUUCAGGUACUACAACUAAGUAAACACUGACCCAGCCCAGCCCCUGUAUGAAAGGUGAACAGAUGUUUUAGCCACAGAGCAGAACUGCUUGCCCAGUGAGCUCGUCACUGCCUUGCCAUUCCCAAGUCAGUUCUUAUUCUUGCCAGAAAUCACACCACAUUGACAGGAGCAACGUCCCCUCUUUUGGGAAUAGGGAUAAAACAAUGGAGUAAAAAAUGAAAAGAAUAGGGGAAGAAUUUGCUUCAAGAUUGCCAACUCACUUCAAAUCUGAACUCUCAGUCCUUGGAACAUAUCUUGUCAAUAUAACCCAUUUAAUACACUCCAUCAGUACAACCAUGAGUAUCACAGCUCAGGUUUCAAAUUGAGCAGCAGAAAUUCAGGAAGUAAAUUCCAUCUCAUGGGGCUCUUACAAAAUAAAGAAAGAAAAGACCCCUGGAAGCAGCUUAUAUUUUGCUAAAGCAUUUCCAUUUUCAUCUCCCAACUAGAAUUAGAAUGUAAGCUCCAUGGUUACAGGGAUUUUGUAAGUUCCAUUCACUGCCGUGUGAAUAAUUCCUGACACAUACUAGGUGCUCAAUAAAAAAAAUUACUGAGUAAAUUAACAAAUUCCAGGCAGCCUGACAUUCUGAGUGACUCAAAAUGGUGAUUUUCUCAAUGUAUUUUUCAAACACUUUUCUUGUUCUUUAGUACAUUUUUUAAAUUUAUCUCCCCAAUGAAAAAAACCAAAGACUUUUCCCUCACUGAAAGCUCUGAUUACCUUGAAACCUCAGUUUUCAAGGGACCAAUAAUUUUUAAAAUAUCCUAUUGGAAAUUCCAUUUUCACUUAUGCAAUUCACCAACUAAAAAAAUUUAUUUAAUUUUUUUUAAAGAAGUUCCUGUUAUGGCUCAGUGGUAAUGAACCCAACUGGUAUCCAUGAGGACAUGGGUCAAUCCUUGCCCUUGAUCAGUGGGUUAAGGAUCCGGCAUUGCUGUGAGCCAUGGUGUAGGUCACAGACACAGCUUGGAUCUGGCACUGCAGUGGCUGUGGAGUAGGCCCGCAGCUGCAGUUCCAAUUCGACACCUAGCCUAGGAAAUUCCAUAUGCCACAGGUGCGGCCCUAAAAAAAAAAUUAAUUAAUUAAAAAAUAAAAAUUACUCUCUCUCUCUCUCCAGUAUAUAACACUACCUCAUCCUGCCUUUGAAUUAUAAAAACAAACUAAUAAACACCUUUAAAUAUCAUCUCUGAUUCCAUUCAACACCAAAAAUAACAUUUGUUAGUUCAUCAGGAAAGUCUCAAGUAUCAGGAAGUUGUAAAGCUCAAAGUGGAGAAAACUAGCUUUCCACAAUCUUAAUUUUCACUUGUAAGUUGAAAUUUUAUCAUUGGCCACAAAGUCUAGCUGUUCUCUUAAAGUGACAGGCUUACUACAUUUCCAUGAGGAUGACUGACAGAAACCCAAUAGUGAACAACCAGAGUUUGCCAGACAUGCUUUUGAGCAAAAAUGGUUUUUGAGUUUACCUCACAACUCAAACAAUCACACAAAUGCUUUUCCUUGAGAUUCCUAUUGGGCUAUGAUGUGCAGCAGAAAUGCUUUAUGUAAACACCUCCAUUUUGCCACAGAGAAUAUUAAACAGUGUACUCAAAGGUCAAGGUUUAAUCAAAUGAGACAUUUUUACUGGUUCAUCAAGAGCAUUGUUAAGCAAAAUGGCUUCAUUUUUUUUGUGAGCCUGACUCAUCAGAUGAGUCUCCAUAGCCACAUCUACCCUGUAUAUAUAAGGAGCAGUUUACGUGACACUCAUUCCAAAGGCUCCUGGGAUAAACGCUUGCCCUAAAAUCAUUAAUGUUACCCCCUACCUACACUUAUGAUCUCUGAAAUCUUUAAUUACCUACUCAUUUUUUUUUAAAUUAAGGAGUCUGUGAUAGUAAAAUUCCAAGUAUUCCUAAUAGCCUAGCUGGCCUGGUUGUAUAACCUCCUCCGAUGAGGGAGGUUGCAGGAUGAGGUCAUGGUUUGUGGAAAUAAGAUAGGGAAUAAAUUUUUGACCUAAUGCUCAAAAUUCCCUUGGAAGCAUUAACCAAUGUUCAGUCCUAAUUCAUUAAGAAGCUUCAGAGACAAAGAGCCUGGAACCAUUCAUGUCACUGGUUCCAGGAGGAGACUAAGGAGCUGGGAAGAAUCCCCAGUGAGGUGAAAGGAAGUCUCUGUUGACCAUGACUGGUCAUACCCUCCUGGGUAUACAGUCCACCUCGGACUGACCCCAGGCUUGGCUGCUAAGCCCAAUGAGUUGAGAGGACAAAAUCACAAAGGGCCACUCCUGACUUUCUCACACCUGCAGAGUGUAACCAACUCCUUAACAGUCCCUACCACCAGCACCACGGGGUCACUAACUUAAUGGGUUGGGCCCAGGAUAUUGAUGAGGUCACAUUUAUUAAUCAAAGAUGUUACUAUGACUUAAAAGGUAGCAUCUGUGCAUUGCACCCCAUAUUCUUGCCUCCUUAGCAAGUAGAGAGCAAAUAGGGCUUGUCUCCUAGAGUUUCCCCCUCUUUUCUUCCUUUUUAGUCCUCAAUUAAUGAGUAAGUAAGGCCAGGACCUAGAGAUUUUCUCUCCUUUCUCUUGGCACAUUGAUUAGGCUGGUCCUAAAGUUGAGAACUGAGGAUCAGAAAGGCAGGAAAAUUGAUCCCCUUUAGGCUUCAAGUCUAAAUCAAAUGUUCAAAUCUAGCUUUUACCAGAGAUCACUGCACUGGAUUUAUUGGGGUUUGCACAGCUACCAUCAAGAGGUUGCUGAGUUUCAUUAUGGUGGCAGUAAAACUCUGUGUAAAACUCCAUCAGAAACCCCAGGGAGGGAGUAGGGAGAGGCGGUUAUAGCACAAGUCAAGUAUUCCUCAGUCCCUGGUCUUAAUCCCAUCAUCAUAUCACAACUCCCUACUCAGAACCCUUCACACCUUCGUCAUAACUGCUACAAGGUCUAACACAAUGCCCAUCUCAUAAAAAUAUAUGUGUUGCAAUAAUUAAAUGAAGAACAAAAUGGUCCAGUCACUAGUCAUUCCCUUUUUCCAGACAAAACUCAAUCCAGGUCUUCACAAACAAAAGGAUGAUGGCCACCAUCAACUAUAAUAACCUCAGCUCAUAUUUAUUGAGUGAAGUAUGAACAUAAGCUUAUUUAAUCAUCAUUACAACCUCAUAGGGAUGUUGGAUAUUAUAAUACCCAUUUGACACAUGAGCAAACUAAAGCCUAGAAAGGCCGAAUAAUUAAUACCAACCAAGAUGGUACACUGAAGAGAGGAACUAAAAUGAGGUCUUUCUUACUCCAGAGUCAUAGCUAAUAAUUCUAUACUCCCUCUAAGCUUGUCAAGCAUUUUUAUUUCUAUAAUCAGAAGAAAACAAAGAUAUAUGUUGACAUUAGAAUUAUGCAGUAAAGGUAUUAUCCUUAAUGACAACAACAAAAAUGGAAACAAAGGAAAGGAAUUUCCUAAAGAAGGGUGAAGAAAUUCUCUGUAAAAUAUUCAGGAUUGCAAAGGUAUUGAAACAUAAAUUGACUACCUUUAUUUGUGGCCUGUGAACUUCUAUAUUGUAUACUUUGAAGAUUCUAAGAUAUAUUUCACUUAUGCAGAGCUGUACCCUCCUGGCUUUGGACAAUCAACAUUUUUCAUUGAAAAUAAACUCCACACUGGAUUCCCCUAAUAAACUGUCAGCUCUAGCACCGGUUAUGUGCUACUAAUGAUUUUUUAAAUGCAUAAUAUUACAGUGGGCAUUCCAAAGCUCAGGUCUGUGCUGUGCUUAAAUCCUUACAGUGUUCCACAGAUACCGAGCCCAUUCUCCUAGGUAUAAUACACAAUGUUUGACUCUGAAAGAACGAUGCUCAUUUUUGCCCACAUCUAUUAUUUCCAAGUAGGGCCUAGAACACAGUGUGCAUUUAGUCCGUUGGGAAUAAUGAUAAUGACCUCAACUGAUACUAAGUUACUGGAAUCCAGGCCUUUAGAACAACAAAUAAGCCAGUCAGCAUUCAGGUUCUGAAAUGUUAUAUUUGCUACGUGAUCAAAGGUCAAAGUUGCCUCCAUUUUCCAGGUGAAGAAGUGAAGACUAUUAACUAGUAUUAGUAAUCAUUUUCUUCAACAUGACUGAAAAGAUUUCUGCCCACCUGUCACACUGCUUUAAAAAUUAGGUUUGGAGUUCCCAUCAUGGCUCACUGGUAACAAACCCAACUAGUAUCCAUGAGGACGAGAAUUCAAUCCUUGGGCUUGCUCAGUGGGUUAAGGAUCUGGCAUUGCUGUGACUUGUGGUGUAGGUCACAGAUAUGGCUCGGAUCCCACAUUGCUGUGGCGUAGGCAGGCAGCUGUAGCUCCAAUUCUUUCCCUAGCCUGGGAACCUCCAUAUGCUACAGGUAUGGCCCUA